rnacentral:rRNA from 1 species
GGUGAAUACGUCCCCGCUCCUUGCACACACUGCCCAUCGCUCCACCCGAGCUGGGAAUGGGCGAGAGCCACUCGAGUUGGGUGGCCCGAGCCCAGGCCUGGUGAGGGGGGAGAAGUUGUAACAAGGUGGCCGCACGGGAACGUGUGGCCGGAUCACCUCCA